UUGUAUAAGUGCAUCCUUUUUACUUAGAUUUUAUUAAACACCCACUAACCCAAUUCUCUCCUUCUAAUGCUCUUUGGUGUGUCUUUUGCAGUGUGGACAUCUGGUCGCUGGGGAUAACCGCCAUCAAAAUGGCCGAGGGAAAAGCACGUAAGUGAAUCACAACAAUUGUGGCUACUUUAUUUUAUACAUUGAGCAGCAGAGGUUCUAUAUCAGAAUGGGAGGAAUUUGGGGUGAUUUGCUAUUUCUAGCAAAAAAGAACUUUUGCUAUAGAUUAAAUAAAUAACUUCUAGACAUGUUUGAUGAGCCUGAUAUAUAUGUUUUUCACUUUUAGCAUACAUAGGGCAAUACCCAGUGGAGGACCUGAUAAUAGAAGCCCGACCACCGAAGCUUCAAUCAAACACCUGGACUGAAGGGAGUUGCUCUCUCAAAGCUGCGGCGUGCUUAUGACUUCUUCACACAGACAUCGGCAGAACAAGAAGCAGCUCUGCAAAUGGCCCUGGAGGGCUUCUCCUGUUAUUGAUCUUGUGGCCAAUAACAUCAACAGCCCAAAAUGAGUUUCCUGAAUCACAGCCGGGGAAAAAGAAUCAUCCACAGGAUCCAGUGGCAUCUGCAGCUCCACCAGCAACAUCUCCUUUCAAGCUGAUGCAGUUUAGUAAGUGGUAACUUCAAGAUUCCUGCAACUACACCAGCAGAGACUUUACCUCUUUCUGUUGCAACAUGAUCUUAUUCUUUUCAGACUACCACAUCUCCACCAGUGG